AGCCCCAUAGUCUAGCGGCAAGGACAGCGCGCUCUGGACGCGCAGACAGGAGUUCGAUUCUCCUUGGGGCUA
rnacentral:tRNA from 1 species